CAGCAGCCCGAGUGGUGGUCGUUUUUAUUGGGCCUAAAGCGUCCGUAGCCGGUCUAGUAAAUCCUUGGAUAAAUCGUACAGCUGAACUGUACGGCUCCCGGGGAGACUGCUAGACUUGGGACUGGGAGAGGUCGGAGGUACUCCAGGGGUAGGGGUGAAAUCUUGUAAUCCUUGGGGGACCACCAGUGGCGAAGGCGUCCGACUAGAACGGGUCCGACGGUAAGGGACGAAGCCCUGGGGCGCGAACCGGAUUAGAUACCCGAGUAGUCC
rnacentral:rRNA from 1 species